UACGAAGGGUGCAAGCGUUAAUCGGAAUUACUGGGCGUAAAGCGUGCGUAGGCGGUUUGUUAAGUCUGUUGUGAAAUCCCCGGGCUCAACCUGGGAAUGGCAAUGGAUACUGGCAAGCUAGAGUGUGUCAGAGGAUGGUGGAAUUCCCGGUGUAGCGGUGAAAUGCGUAGAUAUCGAGAGGAACACCUGCGGCGAAGGCGGGUUGCUGGGCUGACACUGACGCUGAUGCGCGAAAGCUAGGGGAGCGAACGGG
rnacentral:rRNA from 1 species